GAGCAGAGUUAUAGCAAGGACCCGAGUUGGGAUUGCUGUUGAUGAUGGUACGGGCUCCAUAAAUACCGUUAUCUUUGGCCUUGAUGCUGAAAAGCUUAUCCCAUUUACAGCACUUCAAUUCUGGGAAGCUCAUACUGAGGAGCUUAACUUUUCUGCUGAACUAGCAUCUGCACUUGGAAAGCAUGCAAUUGUGUGUUUCAUUCGCUA